UUUUAUUUGAGAGUUUGAUCCUGGCUCAGGAUGAACGCUGGCGGCGUGCCUAACACAUGCAAGUUGAGCGAUUUACUUCGGUAAAGAGCGGCGGACGGGUGAGUAACGCGUGGGUAACCUACCCUGUACACACGGAUAACAUACCGAAAGGUAUGCUAAUACGGGAUAAUAUAUUUGAGAGGCAUCUCUUAAAUAUCAAAGGUGAGCCAGUACAGGAUGGACCCGCGUCUGAUUAGUUAGUUGGUAAGGUAACGGCUUACCAAGGCGACGAUCAGUAGCCGACCUGAGAGGGUGAUCGGCCACAUUGGAACUGAGACACGGUCCAAACUCCUACGGGAGGCAGCAGUGGGGAAUAUUGCACAAUGGGCGAAAGCCUGAUGCAGCAACGCCGCGUGAGUGAUGAAGGCCUUCGGGUCGUAAAACUCUGUCCUCAAGGAAGAUAAUGACGGUACUUGAGGAGGAAGCCCCGGCUAACUACGUGCCAGCAGCCGCGGUAAUACGUAGGGGGCUAGCGUUAUCCGGAUUUACUGGGCGUAAAGGGUGCGUAGGCGGUCUUUCAAGUCAGGAGUGAAAGGCUACG
rnacentral:rRNA from 1 species